GCGAGGUUAGUCUAGUUUGGUUCAGGACACAAGCCUGCCACGCUUGUUGCGCGGGUUCAAAUCCCGCACCUCGCA
rnacentral:tRNA from 1 species